GACGAACGCUGGCGGCGUGCCUAAUACAUGCAAGUUGAGCGCUGAAGGUUGGUACUUGUACCAACUGGAUGAGCAGCGAACGGGUGAGUAACGCGUGGGGAAUCUGCCUUUGAGCGGGGGACAACAUUUGGAAACGAAUGCUAAUACCGCAUAAAAACUUUAAAAACAAGUUUUAAGUUUGAAAGAUGCAAUUGCAUCACUCAAAGAUGAUCCCGCGUUGUAUUAGCUAGUUGGUGAGGUAAAGGCUCACCAAGGCGAUGAUACAUAGCCGACCUGAGAGGGUGAUCGGCCACAUUGGGACUGAGACACGGCCCAAACUCCUACGGGAGGCAGCAGUAGGGAAGCUUCGGCAAUGGACGAAAGUCUGACCGAGCAACGCCGCGUGAGUGAAGAAGGUUUUCGGAUCGUAAAACUCUGUUGGUAGAGAAGAACGUUGGUGAGAGUGGAAAGCUCAUCAAGUGACGGUAACUACCCAGAAAGGGACGGCUAACUACGUG
rnacentral:rRNA from 1 species